rnacentral:rRNA from 1 species
UGCAAGUCUGGUGCCAGCAGCCGCGGUAAUUCCAGCUCCAAUAGCGUAUAUUAAAGUUGUUGCAGUUAAAAAGCUCGUAGUUGGACCUUGGACCUGGACAGGCGGUCCGCCUCACGGCGAGUACUGUCUUGCUGGGUCUUUCCUCUUGGUGAUCUGUUGUUUCGGCAGCAGGGAACCAGGACUUUUACUUUGAAAAAAUUAGAGUGUUCAAAGCAGGCUCGACGCCGGAAUAUAUUAGCAUGGAAUAAUAAAAUAGGACGUGCGGUUCUAUUUUGUUGGUUUUUGGAAUCGCCGUAAUGAUUAAUAGGGACAGUCGGGGGCAUUAGUACUCACAUGCUAGAGGUGAAAUUCUUGGAUUUUGUGAAGACUAACUUCUGCGAAAGCAUUUGCCAAGGAUGUUUUCAUUAAUCAAGAACGAAGGUUAGGGUAUCGAAAACGAUUAGAUACCGUUGUAGUCUUAACAGUAAACUAUGCCGACUAGGGAUCGGUCGAUGUUAUCUUUUUGACUCGAUCGGCACCUUACGAGAAAUCAAAGUUUUUGGGUUCUGGGGGGAGUAUGGUCGCAAGGCUGAAACUUAAAGGAAUUGACGGAAG